rnacentral:rRNA from 1 species
GGGUUGUGAGGUUAAGCGACUAAGCGUACACGGUGGAUGCCCUGGCAGUCAGAGGCGAUGAAGGACGUGCUAAUCUGCGAUAAGCGUCGGUAAGGUGAUAUGAACCGUUAUAACCGGCGAUUUCCGAAUGGGGAAACCCAGUGUGAUUCGUCACACUAUCAUUAACUGAAUCCAUAGGUUAAUGAGGCGAACCGGGGGAACUGAAACAUCUAAGUACCCCGAGGAAAAGAAAUCAACCGAGAUUCCCCCAGUAGCGGCGAGCGAACGGGGAGCAGCCCAGAGCCUGAAUCAGUGUGUGUGUUAGUGGAAGCGUCUGGAAAGGCGCGCGAUACAGGGUGACAGCCCCGUACACAAAAAUGCACAUGCUGUGAGCUCGAUGAGUAGGGCGGGACACGUGGUAUCCUGUCUGAAUAUGGGGGGACCAUCCUCCAAGGCUAAAUACUCCUGACUGACCGAUAGUGAACCAGUACCGUGAGGGAAAGGCGAAAAGAACCCCGGCGAGGGGAGUGAAAAAGAACCUGAAACCGUGUACGUACAAGCAGUGGGAGCACGCUUAGGCGUGUGACUGCGUACCUUUUGUAUAAUGGGUCAGCGACUUAUAUUCUGUAGCAAGGUUAACCGAAUAGGGGAGCCGAAGGGAAACCGAGUCUUAACUGGGCGUUAAGUUGCAGGGUAUAGACCCGAAACCCGGUGAUCUAGCCAUGGGCAGGUUGAAGGUUGGGUAACACUAACUGGAGGACCGAACCGACUAAUGUUGAAAAAUUAGCGGAUGACUUGUGGCUGGGGGUGAAAGGCCAAUCAAACCGGGAGAUAGCUGGUUCUCCCCGAAAGCUAUUUAGGUAGCGCCUCGUGAAUUCAUCUCCGGGGGUAGAGCACUGUUUCGGCAAGGGGGUCAUCCCGACUUACCAACCCGAUGCAAACUGCGAAUACCGGAGAAUGUUAUCACGGGAGACACACGGCGGGUGCUAACGUCCGUCGUGAAGAGGGAAACAACCCAGACCGCCAGCUAAGGUCCCAAAGUCAUGGUUAAGUGGGAAACGAUGUGGGAAGGCCCAGACAGCCAGGAUGUUGGCUUAGAAGCAGCCAUCAUUUAAAGAAAGCGUAAUAGCUCACUGGUCGAGUCGGCCUGCGCGGAAGAUGUAACGGGGCUAAACCAUGCACCGAAGCUGCGGCAGCGACGCUGAUGCGUUGUUGGGUAGGGGAGCGUUCUGUAAGCCUGUGAAGGUGUGCUGUGAGGCAUGCUGGAGGUAUCAGAAGUGCGAAUGCUGACAUAAGUAACGAUAAAGCGGGUGAAAAGCCCGCUCGCCGGAAGACCAAGGGUUCCUGUCCAACGUUAAUCGGGGCAGGGUGAGUCGACCCCUAAGGCGAGGCCGAAAGGCGUAGUCGAUGGGAAACAGGUUAAUAUUCCUGUACUUGGUGUUACUGCGAAGGGGGGACGGAGAAGGCUAUGUUGGCCGGGCGACGGUUGUCCCGGUUUAAGCGUGUAGGCUGGUUUUCCAGGCAAAUCCGGAAAAUCAAGGCUGAGGCGUGAUGACGAGGCACUACGGUGCUGAAGCAACAAAUGCCCUGCUUCCAGGAAAAGCCUCUAAGCAUCAGGUAACAUCAAAUCGUACCCCAAACCGACACAGGUGGUCAGGUAGAGAAUACCAAGGCGCUUGAGAGAACUCGGGUGAAGGAACUAGGCAAAAUGGUGCCGUAACUUCGGGAGAAGGCACGCUGAUAUGUAGGUGAAGUCCCUUGCGGAUGGAGCUGAAAUCAGUCGAAGAUACCAGCUGGCUGCAACUGUUUAUUAAAAACACAGCACUGUGCAAACACGAAAGUGGACGUAUACGGUGUGACGCCUGCCCGGUGCCGGAAGGUUAAUUGAUGGGGUUAGCGCAAGCGAAGCUCUUGAUCGAAGCCCCGGUAAACGGCGGCCGUAACUAUAACGGUCCUAAGGUAGCGAAAUUCCUUGUCGGGUAAGUUCCGACCUGCACGAAUGGCGUAAUGAUGGCCAGGCUGUCUCCACCCGAGACUCAGUGAAAUUGAACUCGCUGUGAAGAUGCAGUGUACCCGCGGCAAGACGGAAAGACCCCGUGAACCUUUACUAUAGCUUGACACUGAACAUUGAGCCUUGAUGUGUAGGAUAGGUGGGAGGCUUUGAAGUGUGGACGCCAGUCUGCAUGGAGCCGGCCUUGAAAUACCACCCUUUAAUGUUUGAUGUUCUAACGUUGACCCGUAAUCCGGGUUGCGGACAGUGUCUGGUGGGUAGUUUGACUGGGGCGGUCUCCUCCUAAAGAGUAACGGAGGAGCACGAAGGUUGGCUAAUCCUGGUCGGACAUCAGGAGGUUAGUGCAAUGGCAUAAGCCAGCUUGACUGCGAGCGUGACGGCGCGAGCAGGUGCGAAAGCAGGUCAUAGUGAUCCGGUGGUUCUGAAUGGAAGGGCCAUCGCUCAACGGAUAAAAGGUACUCCGGGGAUAACAGGCUGAUACCGCCCAAGAGUUCAUAUCGACGGCGGUGUUUGGCACCUCGAUGUCGGCUCAUCACAUCCUGGGGCUGAAGUAGGUCCCAAGGGUAUGGCUGUUCGCCAUUUAAAGUGGUACGCGAGCUGGGUUUAGAACGUCGUGAGACAGUUCGGUCCCUAUCUGCCGUGGGCGCUGGAGAACUGAGGGGGGCUGCUCCUAGUACGAGAGGACCGGAGUGGACGCAUCACUGGUGUUCGGGUUGUCAUGCCAAUGGCACUGCCCGGUAGCUAAAUGCGGAAGAGAUAAGUGCUGAAAGCAUCUAAGCACGAAACUUGCCCCGAGAUGAGUUCUCCCUGACCCUUUAAGGGUCCUGAAGGAACGUUGAAGACGACGACGUUGAUAGGCCGGGUGUGUAAGCGCAGCGAUGCGUUGAGCUAACCGGUACUAAUGAACCGUGAGGCUUAACCUUACAACGCCGAAGGUGUUU